AAAAAUUUUGGUCCUGGACUUUCUGUUAUUUAUCCUGAGCUUAUACAUGCAAGCCUCCGCACCCCAGUGAAACACAAGGUAUCAGGGACUACCCAAAAACGCCAAGCCCCGCCACAUCCACACGGACUAGCAGCAGUAAUCAACAUUAGGCAAUGAGCUACACGCUCGACCAAGCUACAGGAACAAGGGCCGGCAAAUUUAUGUGCCAGCCGCCGCGGUCAUACUGAAGGCCCAAGAUAACUAACCCGGCAAAAAAUGACUAGAAUUCACCACCCUCCAAAUUAAGACCAAACUGUGCACUAAUACGUGAAACAAUAAUUACAAGAAAACCAAAAAUCUUAAUAACCGGAUAUUCAACUCAUAAAAUAUAGGAAACAAACUAGGAUUAGAUACCCUACUAUGCCUAUUAUAAAUUUUGUUCGCCAAAAAAGUAUAGGCAUAAAGCCAAAAACUUAAAGGACCUGGCGGUACUCUACAUCAACCUAGAGGGGCCUGUCUAAUAAUCGACAACCCGCGAAAAACCUGACCCCUUCUAGCCCAACUCAGCCUAUAUACCGCCGUCGAAAGCACAUUUUACAAAAAAUGUAGCAAAAUUAUCUUUCACAAGCACGUCAGGUCAAGGUGUAGCACAUGAAGGGGGUAAGAUUGGCCACAUUAAAACGCACAUACAUGAAAAACAAAAUAAGAAUUUAGUAGUAAGAUGCCAUGAACGACCAUCUGAAACCAUCGCUCUUGAGUACGCACACACCGCCCGUCAUCCCCUCUAAUACAUAUGAGGGGCAAGUCGUAACAUGGUAAGUGCACCAGAAGGUGUACUUAGAAGACA
rnacentral:ncRNA from 1 species